AUUAAUAAUAAAUAAAAAGUAACUCAGCUGAGUGCAAUAGAAAAGUAUUAUUAUUUUUGACAGUGCAUGCAGCAUACCAGUGGCAAAACCAAAACCAAAACUAAAGCCAAAUCCAAGUCCAUAUCCGACGUGUGCCGUUGACAUGUUCAUUUUCUUGUUGUCGGCUGUGGGGAAAAUUGAAAUUGCUUGGCCAAGGUGUUUUCCAGACAGCAACAAAUAAGUCCUGGCUCCUCGUCCUGCUCAUGCUCAUCCCCCUGCCCAUUCUCCAUUCCCCCUUCCCAUGCCCUCAUCAUUCAGCCAACCGAAAUCAAAGUGAACGCGGCUCGAAGUGUAUUUUUUUUUUUUGGAUUUUUCGGUACGGCAUCGUGGGUCUGGGAUAUUGACAUUUGGACAGUUUUAUGAGUACCUGCGAUCCGUGUUUGUAUCCCCAGUCCAUGCGAAUAUCUAUCUGUGCGCUGGUUCGACAUUUGUCAGCUUUAUAGCAUUUGCGGCAGGCCGACAAUUGACAGAGCAUUUGUUUUUGCUCUUUCGAAUGACUUAUGAGCGGACCAUAUGUACUAUGUACGAGGAGAUGGACAAGGCCCAAAUGGCAUUACCAGGAGCUUUGGCCCCGCCCUGGGCCGCAUUAUUAGUUUUGCUGGCAGUUGCCAGAUCCCUCAGGUCGAGCUCAUUGCCCAUUUGACACUGUUUGUUAUGACGAACCCACGACGCCAUUUGCCGUGUGGGGUAUAUCAGUUGACAGAGAGCAUUUGUCACGCUGAGGCCUUAUCUAAGUUCCCUUAUCUGAGCAAAGUGCCUCCUAUAGAAUAGAAAGUUAAUUUUAAUGCAGCAAAAACUAAUGCGCACAGCUCUUGCAACUUAAAGCCUUCUCUGCGCUUCUCAUAAAGUCCAAAAGCUAGGACUUCACGCCCACUAAGCAAUGCCAUGUUUUUAUGUAACCCUGUGGAGGCUCUUUCCGCAGGACAUUAAUGUGGUGUCCUGGCGCAUUACAUGUAUGUGUGUGUGUUGGUGUGUGGGUGCGCACAGGGACCAGGACAACUAAAUGAGGAGGAAAGCUGCAGCAGGCAAAUGAUGAUUUAUAUAGCGAGUGGACAGAGCCUGGGUGAAACAUGCCCGCUUGAGAGUAAAUGUUGUAAAAAUAAUUUCAUUUGCAUUAUCAUCAGCAUUUUCCAGGCUUGUGUAUAUUUAGCAUUUCGCAUCUGCAUAUGUAUGCUCUCUGCUUCUUUCGACGGUCCCACUUGAGAGGAGCUCUUGAAAUUAUAUGCGUUAUGACAAAUACUUUCAGAUACGGCGAAGUGGCUUUCGUUGCGAUGUUGGUUUGUCGCUGGCAGCUUGACAAACAUUUCCACAAAAGUAUGAAGAAUUUCUUCUCGUCUCGUUUCGUUUCGUUGCUGAGUUGAGUUGUUGAAGUGUUUGAUUUGCCGGAUUCAAGGGAAAAAUGGUUUCGGUCAUCCAACAUCCAGCAUCCAAAAUCCAUAAAGCAAAUGAAAUUCUGUGGACCGAACCGAACCGAAGCCAAAGCCAAAGCCAAAGGCCCGUAAUCAAGUCAACUAAGCGCUGCUCAAAUCCAUUCAAGUGCAUUAAAAUUGAAUUUCGUUCAGCACACACACACACAUACACAUACACACACACAUCGAUGGAUGGAUUGGAGACAAAACAACAACAAUGGAACAAAAACCCAACCAAAAUGCAUUCUCUUAUUGGGAGGGAGAGCGGGUGUGAAAUCGGGAAAGAUAGGGCCAUGCUCACACAUUGUAUGCAAAAUAUUUAUGUUGAUAAAUCAAGUUUGCUUUUGUGGAUUAGGUGUAUCUCAAAUAAAUUGAAUUUGUGGCGUAAAUUAAGCCAGAACCAAGAGCCAGGAUACACACUUGCAGGACUCUAAAGUGGAUGCCUAACAGCCAAGUUCUGCCAAGUUGUCGGCCAAGUUAUGAGCUUGUUUAAUUGAAAAUAAAUCUGCUUAAAGCCCCAGCUGAGGCGAGCAAUAUGACAGCGACACACUCCCAUUUGCCACACCUCCCCCCAUCCUCGGCCUCUUGAGGGCCGUAAAGGGCGUAAAGAGAAAUUGCGGAAAAGUCGUAAGUAGAGCGAACAUGAACAAAGCAGAUAAAAUACAAAAUACUGCGGAAAUGCAGGGCAAAUACAAUGAAUCUCAAUGUGUAUGAAUAUGCAUGCUGCAUCACUCAUACGCCACGUUCGCCCAUUCCCCCCUCCAGAAGCCCUCGCCCGCUAGUAAAUCACUCUGGAGUCCCCGAGAACUCCGGCACUGCGCUGAUGCGGCUUUCUGGCACAAACAAAUGGCAACCACAACACUUGACCAGCGCGAAUGCGAACGGGAACGGGAAUGGAAUAUGGUAUGGGUUAUGGUACUGGUAACUGGGAACUGGAUCCCGAUGGGCAAACAGUUUGCAACUAGUCUGAGCUGGCAGCGAUUAAAACGAGCCAAAGAGUGAAUGAAAAACAGCAAACUACCGGCUACAGAAACAAUUCACUCUGCCUGGCAGUUUAAAGUGCUCUUUGCCAUUUUCUCACUCUUUUCCCUUCCCUUCCCUUUGCCAUCCAUUUGGGCCACACUUCAGCUUUAAGCCCUCGACAUGCUUUUGUCCCCUGCCGCUGCACAUUCAAUUAGAUUGGAAAAAGUCACCAAAUCACUUGCUAAUGGCUUCGGCUUUGAACGGCGCUCCUCUAACCAUCAUCAUCGGUCCGUUUUACAGGGCUGACCAGUCGGCCAUCCAGUCACCCAUCCAGUCAGCCAAACAGACAGACAGACGGGCAGAGGGACAGACAAAUAAUAUUUAUUUAUUGAUGGCGAAAUAUGGGCGGCGGCAACUGCAACAUCGUGGCACCCGCCAAACUGUCGGCAACAUUUAUAAAUUAUGAUUGCAAUCAACGUUCAACAAAAGCGCGUUCCACCAUCAGAAGGCUGGCUUCGUUCGGUCCAGGGUUGUAAAUUGUAAGUUGCAAGUUGGUUGUUAUACUCUAUAACUUUUGGGUAUUAGCAGCCCCAAUGCGAAUACUUUCAUUCUCCUUCCUGACGUGGAACAUAAUAAUAAGACGAUUAGAAUAGGUUUACCAUUCUAAUUUAUAAUAUUUUGUAAGACUGCAGAAACUGUAAUGUCAAUUGAUUGAUAUUGAGACGUAUCAAGAGUUUGUUUUCAUCUACCUUCGAUACUUCCUCUUCUAAGUAUCUUAUAACUGAACUCAAGUGCCAAGUCUUGUAAAACAAUUCCAACUGCGAUUUUUUAAUAAGGGUAUUACAACAUAAGUAAGUGUUUUGUAACUAGAUCUCGCUUUUUGAUUUGGUAGAACGACAGAUGCACUCACACACACACACACAGCCGGAAAAUUGCUGGGGGAAAGGCGGAAAAAGCGUGAGAGUGAAACACGAAACACAGUCUGACUGCAAUAAGCGUGACAAUUUAUAUAAAUGUUGCAUAUUCAUAACGAGGAGCAAUGGGAAAAAACGUUGCCACAAUGCCGCGCAUUUUGCGGCAGUCAGCUCCCGGCUAAUGAAUGUUGGCCAAACGGAGUAGGAAUUCCCAUGUGGAGCAGUCACUGCCGGCGGGCGGAUUCCAAUUCCGUUUCCCCAUUUCACAUCCCAGGGAUUUUUCUAGUCCGCUGCGUGGGCGCAGCCAGUAUGCCGAUCAUUAAUCUGCCGCUAAUGCCGGACUUCGCUCGCAGGUCUCAAGGAAAGAUUCAGAUACACACAUAUGUUUUAUAUGGCGGGAUGGAUGUAUCUUUGUAUCUGCGUAGCUGCUAUCUGCGGAUCUGUGGGCUGAUGUGUGUGUGUGAAUUUCCUCGACAGCUGAGGCAACACCUCCCGAGAAACGACAAUCGCCUUGAGGGGCUUGGCUUUGGCUUUGGCUUUGACUUCAGCUUCAGCUUUUGCACACUGGACAGUUGUGAGUUGUGACAGCAGCAAAAUGGGUAAAAACGAGUGAGAAAUUGCCAAUUGCAUUUGCGGAGCUAAGCCAAGUCACGAAUGGUCCAAGUCCAAGUCCAAGUCCAAGUCCAGGUGCAGGUCCAGGUCUAGAUCUCGGUGAAAGUGCCGCUCACGCACGAGCUUGUGAUAGAUUUGCUGAUUACUUCGGGGACAGGUUUUCCUUCAGUCCGAGAUACAAUUUAAACGAUGCCCACUCACGCAUGGCAUUUCUGUAAUUUCCGCUGUUUUUUAUGGCCCGUCGAGGAAAGUGUUCAACUGCAUUUAUGCACACGACAGACUUUCAGGAUCUGCGCCAAGAAAUUGAUGUAAUAGGUUUGCGAUUCCACUUGCUUUUAAUUUCUAUAAUUAACUCUCAGUAAGUGUGUGCUAUUUCUCAGAUAUGUUUCCAAAGAUAGUUUCCUUAAACAGGUCCCCAUCUUGGAUCCAAUUUAAUCAACCCCACUUGCUGCUCACACAAGCUCAUCUGGCGGCUCAUCUUCGCGGAGCAAUUUACGACACCAGCUUCUACUUUCCGUCUCAGUCUGGAAAUUGAGUUUAAAUUGCUCUCAGCUGAUGCCGCGGCUUCCUCUUACAAGGAUAAACUAGAAUUUCAAUAAAUGUCACAUGUCCCGCGCUCGCUGCCUGCGUACGCAAAUUGUUGAUUAAAGCGAGUGGAGCGGAGCGACCUGAACCUGAUCCCGAUCCUGAACACCGGGGCCAAGAAGGGGUUCAUUAGGCAACGGGAUAUCCAGUUCCCCUGCACAAAUAUAUAUAUGGGUUAAUAAGGCGGCAGGAUAUACAUACAUAUAUAUAUAUAUAUGCGUAGUAGGUACAGGAUGUGUGCUGGUUCCACCUCGGCUGACAUCUUGUGCCCUGAAUGUCAUUAGCGUGGCUUGGUGUUAGUUGCCCCCAGAGGCGAAUCCACCGGCGGAUGAAACCCCCAAAAACCCAGCAGGGGCGGAGGUGGAAAGGGGUUUUCAGUGCUGGCAGACAACUGCCAACUGCCGCAGCGCAAACAAGAUUAAUUAAGGAAUGUAAAUUUCGCAAAAUUACGCGCCAUUGUUUGUCUCCAUCUCGCUCUGGCUGCGUCCCCCGCAGUAGAUUUCCAUCUCUAUCCUGCUGUGUGUGUCUGUAUUUGUGUGUGUGUGUGAGAAAGGGUGUUGAGAUUUUUUCCAUUAACAACAUCAUCAAUGGGCCGCCGGUCGCAAGGUCGAAAGGUGUCCUGCCCCACCCCCCAAAUCCGCCCUGUUUGUUUUUGUGCGACGGGCUGUUGUUUGGGAAUUUAGCGGAUUUCUACUGACUGCGGCCAGGAGCUUAGCCAGCUUUUCAAUUUCAGCCCCACAGCCGCAGCUCCAGAUCCUGCCCACCUCCCCAGCACCUCACCGUCCUGCUGCUCCUCUGGUUUUGACCAGAGUUCUGCGCUUGUCAGUCCGCCGCAUGAGCCAUUUGAAGGGUUGGCCAACAUUUUUAAUUAGUGUCGUCAGCGUCGACGUUGUCGCUGUCGUUUGUUGCUGAUUUCACCCAGUAAUUUGCGAUUAAAAGGGUAUGCUGUGUGUUAUGACAGAAGAUAAACGCGAAUUAACUGCGCUUUCAGCUCGUAAAUAUGAUUCCCAUUCUUUGUUAUUUCGUUAGGAAUAGAGCAGGAUACUAUUUAGUAUUCAAAAUACUUCUACACGUAUUUACAUGCACUUACAUAUGAAAAGUAUGUUUGAAAUUCCCAGGGAAUCUCCGUGAUUUUUUGCUGCCAUAUCACAAGUACUGGGUAUUUUCAAUUCGGGAUUCCCGCGACACUCCAGCCAAUCCGUUUGUUAUUUCUUCAGCUGGUUGUGGCUGCGGUUGCCUUGAACCCUUUGUGUAUUGUGUCAGAAGCAUGCAUAAAUUAUAUUUUCUGCGGGUCCGGGGAAAUUUCUAAUGAAGCCCGAAAUUGGCUGCGGGAAAUAACCAAGACGUGUGGGCCACACUCUUGCAGAGCUCACCAGUGGAUUGGGAAAUUUUCGGUAACAGGAUACUUUCCCAACCUGCUGCUUGCUACCUGCUGGGCGGCAAUGUGUUUUCGCAUUUUCCGCCACGCAUCUCGACCAAAUUUCCCCGCGUUGGCCAAUGGUUUGGGCCAUUGUUUACGCACUGCCGAUGGACGUGUCGAAAUGCGAAGCGUGUGAGUCAGCUGCCAAAGUAUCUGCAUUCGUGUGUACAUGCUACAUAUGUGGUAUCUAUGACUGCAACUGGACUGCAGUCUGGCAUAUUUGGGUCAGCCUUUAAAUAAACUCUAUGGCAGCGCAGGAAAUGCCUGCUUGUUUGAUGUUUCAGUAACACAUGAUGGCUCAAUAGUGCUCCAGGAGAAGGCCGGGAAUGGUAUUUGGAAUGCUGGUUCCUGGAAAUGCCAGAUAUGUUCUCCGGCAUCCAUCAAUCCUGGGCGCAGCUCUGACAGCCGUGAAAUCGUGUUAAACGUAAUCUCAGACUAACCAAAAAUCACCCUCCACCUUCCGUUUGCCAGAGCUAUUCGAGGCAUGAAUGAUGGCACUCAAAUUACAUUAAAUGGAAUUUCGAUUGCACCCCUCCCGCGCCCGCGUCCUCCAAUCGAACAGUUCACCAAUCCUCCGAUCUGGGAAUGACAAUGACGAUGACAAGACAAUGGCGGGGCAACAGAAACCGAAUUCGAAAUGGAAACAGUAAAUGGCAUUUACAUGUUCCUGUCAUUAGGCCGAAAGGGGAGCCGGCAACCAAUUUAAUGAAUCAGCAUCAUCACCAUCAUCAUCAUCAGCCAGCUCCAGCUCCAGCUUCAGCUUCAUCUCCAGCUAUUCCACUUUGGAUAGGCCUCUGGAAAUGCAGCAUUGCAGAUAUCGGAGAAGUUGCAGCUGCAACGGGUGCAAUCAGACAAAUGCAAUUAGGAUUUGGCGACGCUUUCGUGUCGGCAUUCUAAGCAUGCCACAUCGUCAUUCUUUUUCGGCUCUCCUCAUUUCCCGGGGGAAAAUGCAACAAGCCCAAGCUGAGGCACAGACAUGAAGCUGGGAUCCAAGGUCCGACGUUUGUCCCCGGGGAUUUGACAUGAAAGGCGCCGAAAUGUCGAUCCACGAGGAUGGAGUGAACAGCUCAAAACUGUCCUAAAUGGGAGGGGAAAAUACCAUGGAAUGGGCAGUUUUAAGAACAUUUAAGUUUACUUUCUUUCAUCAUGAAAUCAUGAAAUACGAAACUAAUAAAAGCCUGCAUUAACGGCACACUCAAGUGAAAUCUCUUAAUUAGGUCAUCCAGUAAACACACUGUCUAAAUGGGAAAUACUUGUUUAAAACACUAUCCCUGCAAUAUAAACAAUUUAAGCUUAUUUUUUAUAUACUUAGUACAGAGCACAUUACAAAGGUUUUUAUAUUGAAUAUGGGAAUUGGGUCACAGGAUUCCAUUAGUUUCUAUUACGCUUUCGGCUGAAACAAGCGUACUCAAUAAAACUUUUAAAGGCUUUUCAUAUUAAAUGCACAGGUUUCCGGAUGGAAGGCUUUCUGAAAUGCUUAAAAACCCACUCUGCCCAAACUUUUCCCCAAUUUCCCACACUCUUGUGUGCACUUGAGCAACUUUUGAGCCUUCGCCGGACUGCUGAUGAUGUCCGCUCGGCUUGCCGGCUCUCAAUUAAAUAUUUAACUUUAAGAAAUGUAAUUUCAAUUAGCGCCACAGCAUUUGGCCAUUAGCGUGGCUAGCGCCGAGAUUUGUGCCAAUUGCGAAUACAAAAAUGCGGAAUACAAAAACAAGAGCCGCGAUGAAUGAGCAAACAGCAAGGAGCAGGAGGAAAAUCGCAGGAAAAUCGUUGGUGGGGUUUGGGUGGAAUUUGGACACCCGCGCCUCUCGCUCACUCGCUCAAAAUCAUUACGUGAUUAAGGUUGCCAUUACGGCCGGGAAAGCAAAAAUAGAAAACUAGAGCAUGGCACGCAGACAGCUGCAGAGGGGCUUUCCGCGGGGCGGAAAAUGGGGAAAUGGGAAAAAUCGGGACAGGGGAGGGCAGACGCUCUGCGACCGCAAUUGCGCUCGCUUGGUUUGGCGGAAAAUAAAAUGAAGUGAAAGAAAAUAACACGAAAUAAAAUAAAAUAAAAUAAAACGAAAUAAAAUAAAAUGAUAUAAAGAACAAAAAGCAACAAGAACCAGCUAAAUAACAGCAAAUAAAAAUAAAUAAAUCAGCGACACGGCAGCGCAACUCUGGGGAGGAUGGGUAUGAGGAUGGGGCCAAAGGGUCGUCUCCGCCGCACAAAAACAAUUAAAAUGAAAACCCGUAAGCACUCUAACUCCGGGCGGAAAACGGUCGGUACUUUCCCGACUUCGAAUUCGUAUUUUCCGCAUUUGUCCUUCGCACGAGCGAGCAAAAUGGUUCGAAAACAAAUUUGCCGAUCUAAUUAAAAGCUAAAUUGUGACCAUUAAACGGGGUUCACAACGCCACUGCCUUCUUUACAUAUAAAAAAAAAACCGAAUUGAACCAUAAUCAUAAACAAAUUGAAGGGAAAUAAAUGUUAUACUCAAAAAAUGAGUUUAAUCUAGCGAAGCAGCUUUAACAUCGAUUUACCGUGUCUAAAAACAAAAGGGUGUGAAAUGUCUUUCUAAAUAUUGCCAUUCGAAAUAAUAGUUUUUUUUCCCAGUGAACUAUCUGUGACCUUAAGUGGGUACCACGGCAUGGAAAAACAUUGAAAAGCAUUUAAGUUCGCUCCGCCUUUCAACAAGUUGGCAAGCAAUGCAAUUUACGGAUGCAGAGCUCGGCGAAAUGGGUGAAGUGGAACGGGUGCGCCAGGAUGCAAGGACAUGGCCAUUAGUGGGCCACGGGCCACGGGCCACGAGUGGCAUAGAAAAAGUAUGCCAAGCUGACCACAUAGCGCAGGAUAACACAGACCAGAAUAGGAACGAGCAACUGAAGCUGGAGCAGAAGCAGGAACUGGAACUGCAUCUGGACCUGGACACAGACGUCUGGCAAAUUGUAAAUUAAUUGAUGAAGCCAGCGUUUGGAAGAGGCAGGGACAAACUCUCGGACUUCGGAGUGCCAGGGCGGUCGCUGGAAAUAUUCAACAGGGAUGGCGCUAUUCAUUCGUGCUUAGAAUGAAUCAUUUAGACCAGACUGAGGUGAAUAACUCCAUAAUAUGGCAUAGAAAUCCUUGUAGACCUUUUUAGAACGAAAAAAUCUAAUGAUGAACUCUUAACGUUGAAAAUUACAAUUGAAUAUGAAGAAUUUCGAAUAUGCAUCCACUGUGAGCUUCUUGAGCCCCAUUAGCUCCCCCCAAACGGCAGCCCCUGGAAUCGAGAAACUCGAACUGCAGCUGACAUCUCGAACGGUAAGAGAUGGCAAUACGGAAUGGAGCGGGAUGGAGCAACGCUGACAAAUUGCUGGUAGCAAGAUUAAUGCCUGCAUUAUCUUUCCUCAUUUGUCGAUUGUCAAUGCAACUGGGCCGCGUCCGCAGCAGAAUAGCAACAACAGCAACAACAACAGCCGAAUCAACAACAACAACACCAAUAAAUGGAUGCAGCAACAGGGACAACAAGAGAACGCCCCCGGGGCGUGGCAGUUUACCUUUGCCUUUGCGUUUUACCUGUCCAGUGCCGCAUUGUUCUCUGAUUUCCCAUUUUCCUUCUCUCUAUCGCUGACAUUUUUCAAUUUGAUGAUGCACAGCGAGAACAACAUCAACAACAACAACAACAACCGAGUGGGCGGCAAUUUCGUCCUCAUUUUCCGAGCGCUUUUCCUUCUGCCGUUCCUUUUUUUUAAUGGCAUCUGCUGCUGCUGGACAAGGUAAUUUCAUUUUUAUAUUAAUGACAGUAUGUUUGAUGCAUGUCCCUUUACAAGUCCCUCGUCUCGCGCGCUUAAUCACUUAAGACUCUUAAAUGUGAAAAAAAAAGAAACACAUUGUGCCAUAUGGGUACACUUAAUGGCCAAUUGGUCGGUGGCGGAAUAUGUCACGGUUUUGUUCAAUUUAAUGCCUGUGGAAAUACAACUCUGAAUAUUUGCCAACAUGAAACGCGAAAAUUGCACUAAUUAGUCAAGUCAUCGAUUAUUUAUCGAUGGGGUGAGCAGGCAUCGCGUGGCAAUCGAUGCUGGUGGAAAAGUUAAUUUUGCAUUGUGUGUCGCAAUUGUAGUGGGCUAAUUUGAAAAUGCAAUUACCAAAAAUUAGUUCGAUAAUAGAUAACGCGUGUUUUUGGUUUCCAUUUUUAAUUACUAGCAUGCAUUUCAAUCAGAUCAGUGCUCAAUCGAUAGUGGAUCAGUAAUCCGUGUCAUCGCUAGAAUUUAAAAAGCUCAUCCCUGAUCUUUUUUUGUUCGCAAAUAUUUAAUGUUCAAGUGCAAAUUUUAUAUUUUAACACAACAUAGUGAAAUGCAAAUAAUUUAACACACAACCUGCAUUGAUUGAUGUGUAUAAAACCAAAUAGAUUUGAUUAGCAGAAAAACAGCUUAGACAGGUAAGUCUCCAUUGCUAAUGGUUUCAAGUCAGUUUCAAAUAUUAAACUUUUAACGCAGGUAGGCAAAAAAUUCAGAUGAAUACAAACACACACAUCAAAAUCAAAGGCGGCCUGCAAACUCUCACCUGAGCUCGUUGAGCCCAGAGCCUUGAGCCGAUUUGUUUCGGUUCGGUUCGGUAUGGUAUGGUUUGGUUUGGUUCAGUUUGGUCGCUUCAGUCACUUAUUGGCAAAUGUUUCGUUGCUGAAAAACGGAGGAAAACUCGAAGGAAAAACGGGGCGGAAUCUGGUGCAGAAAUGCGAAAAAUGUGUAAAUUUGCGCCCGCUUUUAUUUUUCGCAUUUGGCCCGGAUGAUGUGUAGCGGCUGAUCCGCUUUGGCAGCGCUCCCAGGUUCGAGUUCAUUCAAUUUGGAUUAAGUCGUUCGUGUUGAUUAACAAAAUUGACUUUUUUGCAGACUUCCCGCCAAUCGAUUUCGAUUUGGGAUCGAUGGAGAGUUGGCGCAGCUGUAAACCAUUUAGCCGACGAUGCCGUAGACGUUUAGUAAAUAUUCAAUCAAUUUGGAUGGACAAUAAAUCACCAGGAAAUCAAGAGCGUCUCAAUUUCUCCAAACAGAUAUGCGUCAUAACAAUAAAAAAAAAGCAUCCCAUUUCCCACACUUUCCCCCCAAAGUGCGGCAAAUAAACAAGACAAGGCGACAGGCCAUAAUAUAUCAUGGCCCCAAGGCGCCUAACGACACGACACGAAGAUGGAGAUGGAGAGUCAGCUUCGAAGGACACUGAUGCGUAAUGGCUGCCAGGGGAUGACAUCGAUCCGGAGCUUCGUCUUCUUAACUGCAAAUCAAUGACAUAUAUUUACGGCAAAUGCGUUUGCCCGCCGGGGCCACAUCGACGGGAAUAAUAGGUCGGAAUAAAGUAAUAACCCGAAUAAUAGCAUAUGUCGGCGGAGCCAUUACCUGCCGCUAAUUGCCGUACAAACUUCUCCUGUCGCCGCAUAAGCCGGUCGCCAAUUAAAGCCAAACAAAUGCUGUUGGAGCGCUAAAAGCCCUCAAUCCGGAUCUCACGGCUCCCGAGAGCCAGCCGCAAUGUAAGUGCGGCUCAUAAUUUAUUUCGAUUACGCCGCAGCACGCAAUUUGCGCCGGGCACAUCCUUUUCGAGCACACGGACACGCACAGGAAGUGAGAUAUCCAGGAGCACCGGCUGUGGAGCGAGUGGAGAGCACCAGGGCCAGAGAUAAGUGUGCGCUGCGCGCAAUUUCCGUUUCCGCUUGGUUUGCCCUUAUCCAGCGCUGAUGCUGCGAAAAUCCACUAAGCAACAAUUAAAUCACAGACUCCCGAGAGCAACUCGUGAAGAUAAAAGCGUAGAAUGCAGCAGAAACAAUGUAAGGAAUCGGCCACAUACAGUAGAACAACUCUAGGCAGCUAUGGGAAGAUGAUGUUUAAAAAUAGUAAAGGUUUUCAUGAAUCGAUUUGGAAUGUAGUAUAAGACCCAUACUUAUGUGACAGAUCAAAGUCCGCGCUACAAGAGUCUCACUGUACGCCUUGAGUGACUCAGAGGCAUUAAUUUGAGGAUUGGAGGACAGAAACAAAGACAAAGGCUACCUGAAGUGAAUCAUUCCCAAUCGUUCCCAUGCAGGUAACAAGAGCCCGCCGAGCAUUACCAUUACCAUUAGCUGACUAAUCGGGGCCUUCAAGAGUGGCAGCUCCAGUCCGUGGCACUCCAGAAACAGACCAAAAUCGAUUCGCUUUAAGCGCUCGCUCUUUACGCUUAGAAGUUAUAAAUAUUUAUGGCGCACAUAAUGCAGCGCGUUGAGCUCGGCCAAUAAUUUCUCCGCUUACAGCUCUGCGAUAUCUGGGAUCCCAGGCUAAAUGUCGGGAUGUGUGUGUGUGCUCCAGAUGCAGCGAAGCGAGCAUUUUCCACUGAAGGAUUUAUGCUCGCUGACAUGCAACUUAAAAGCAAGGACAACAGCAAGAGAUAGCACAAGCGGAGGGGUUGUGCAGAGGGGGAUACAGAUGCAAGCAGCGGCAAACUUUCCUUAUGCGGGAUACUUUUCUUGUGCAGUCGGAACAACAAUCGGCGAAGCGAUGCUGAGCACAAGGAUUAGGCCACAAGGAGAAUGGGAGUCAGCAGCAGAAAGGAGCCGAAAUUUAUGUGACUUUUGCAUGUGGGCUGCAGGAUGCAGGAUGUGGCUCGCACUGGCUAGACAUUAGUACAAUUUCCGGUCCAGGCCACAAAAUAUUCAAUAAUAUAUUAAAGAUAUAGCCAGCAACCCGAAAGAGAUAUCACACAAAAGGCAAGGAGCAGGGCAGGAACCGGCAGAUACUGGCGCACACCAGCAGGCACGAAUUCGACAACUCAACUGAAGCGUAGCAGGCAGGAUAAAUCUAAAUAAGACGUGCUUCGACUCCGGCCUGGCCUACUCCUCUCCUCCGCCUCAACCUCCGCCUCCAUCUCCUCUAUUCUGCGGCAAGGUAGCUGGAGCAUGCACCAUCAGCCGGAGAAUUUGUGCAAUGAAGUGCAAGUGAACUUAAAGCGUCUAAAGAUACUCCCAACUACCUGACCACACGAGAGAUGAGCGCGUGAGGAGGAUGAAAAUGCAGAGUCCGAGCACGAAUUCCAGGAAUUCAAGAUGUUAAAGAAUAUUGAGCCAUCGGAUAAGUAAACUUUUAUAGUACACCAUUUGGCUAAAUCAUAAAGAUUAAGUCUUUGAUACCGAACAUUGUUAUGAAAUGAAUUUAUAGCUAGUCACAAAUGAAGUGCCUAUCAUUUAAUAUGAUAUGACGAAAGGUAGAAUGUGAUCUAUAAAAAUAAAGCAUACAAUUAAAGAGCUAAAACGAUACAAAAACCAGCUACUAAUCUCAAACGAAAUCGCUUGAUGUUUGACAAAAGUAAGAGGAUACCUGGACCUACAAAAUUUUAAAUAACAUUUGAUAUGAACAAAAUGAUUUGGCUUAGCUCACGAACUCACAUCCCCUCGAACUCCCUUAAAGCAAAACGGAAGUGCCACUCGAUUCCCUGGAGCGGAAGUGGAUAUGGGGGCUACCGGAGGAAGCAGUCGGGUUUAUGGGUAUAUGGGCUCGUUCAAUAAAUUUCAGCACUCUUAAAUUGGCAAUGCGUUGCACUUUUAGUGGCAGUGGCAGUGGCAAUGGCAGUGGCAUGCACCGAUGUCCAUGGCGUCCAGUGCGGAGUCAGUAGUCAUGGGUCCGUUAAAGCGGGCACGGUAAAAUUGAUAAUCAAUCAAAUGCGGCGCUGACGCAGCCAGGCACUUAAUCACUGUCUGGUUAUCCUUUUUGUUUCGCUGGCUUAACUUUUAUCAAUUACGCCUUUUUGCGACUGACAGAGAUGAAUCACGGGAAAUCAGCAAUGCAAUGCAUCGAGUGAAGUUGCUUACCCCACCGGCUGACUAUCUCUUUAUUAAUUCAAUUAACGUUGCUCUGGCAAUUGGUGUGGAAUUAGCCGGCGACUCGAGUCAAAAGCCUGCGGAUCAGGUGGGACUCACCACCUGAUGGCCCCAUAAUCAGCACACUUCUGUGGUUCCUGAGCCCGGCCAAAACCAAGGUACGUUUCUGAAACAUUGUUUCGUGCCUGCCAAGUGCACAAAUGCAAUUUUCAUGUCUCGUCUUCGAAUGAGCUAGCACAACAGUUGCUCUUGAGGCAUUGUUCAAUUAAUAAAAUGUCCGAGUGCAUUGAAAGCAACCGCAGACCUAGAUGCACUUUCCCCACUUUCGCCCCUCGUCCGUUGACGAUGUGGUCGAGAAAAGUGCAAGUUCAAUCAGCAGCUGCAAACUGCAAAUGGCAAACUGCAAACUGCAAUCGAGAGUCAAGAAUCGAGAGUGGAGACCACAGCAGGGUGUCGCCUCCGCCUGAUUCAAUUACACAACAGCCCGUAAUCAAAGCAAAGGAAAUUUGUCUCUAUUAUUUCGCUUGCAUAAAUCAGUAAGAAUCGAAGACCUUGCGCAUUGAGUAGCAGACAGUUGAUACCCUGUUACGAGCGGCCCACCAAAAAUUGGCUAGAACAUGGCAAACGGCACGGAUAUACCUCAAAGUGGUAGAGCAAUUGCGAGUUAUGAAAAGUCCACAGUUUGAGUCAAAGACAAAGGCAAACACGGCUACCAACACAAAGGCUGCCCCCAGACAGGAGUCAAAUAAUUAAUGGCCAGCCGGGGAAGGCAAACAAACAAGCUUAAAACGAGCAAAAACACAACAGAAACUGAACCGAAACGAAGCGAACCGAACUGAAACCAGAAAAAAUCUCGAGAGGAAGGUCAACUGUUUCGAAUACACUUUCGCGGAAAAGAAAGUUGUAUUCUUGUGCGAUUAAGUGUCAAGGCAAUCUUAUAUUUGCUACUGCGUUAUUCAAAGUACUUUGUAUUUAUACAAUCAUCUGAUGGUUAGGAUUUCACCGUAGGCGGAACUUAGAUAAAUUUUACUGUGAUGUAGCGAGUGUUCCACGAAUUAACAUACCUCCAGCGAGGGUAGCGAAUAAAAGCAAGCCAUGAGCGGAUUUGCAUGAGCGAAGCGCGGAGUUCGGCGGGAAAAGGAUACUGGGCUGGAGGAUCAUGUGUGUGGGACUGGCGGCCACGUCGGUUGCCUUGGAUGCCGUCAGUAGCUUGUUAUGCACUGUCCUCUCCAGUGUUCCCGUGGUUGUCUAGACUUUAAGUUGGCUAAUAGCCGACACUGGCGCUUUUAUUUUUUUUUUAUCUCUUUGGUUGUUAUGAUAUGGUAUGUGGACCGAGGGCUUUGGUCAGAAAGCCAGAAAGCCAGAAAUUUGUUGUAAACCGAAUUUGCGCUCUUGUAUUACUUAUUUGGUCCAUUAUUUGUGUGCUGCUUGGCUUUCGCUUUUAUUUGACUUUGGCCUUUUGUGCGACGCUUUUUGUGGCCCAAAACGAACCCUGCACUUGAUAAUGAAAUAUAUAAACGUGGCUUCCGCUGCAAGAGUGGGUAAAAAUCCGUGGCCAUAAGGCUUAUAACACACACAGGACGCAGGACAUAGGGCGCAGGACUUCAGGAGAACAAGAGCAGCAACAGGGGAUAGGACUUUACACGGUUCGGGGUGCGAGAACUGAACACAGAAACUCGCUGCGAGAAAUCAUAAAUUAAUCCGAUUUAAGCAGCUCAGUAGCUUAUUUUUAUGCCAACCAACUCGAAACCAGCAGUUUUUGUUGUUUUGUUGCUCGAUGAAAGCGGUGGGAGAUUUACUGCUGGCCAUGUCAUGUGUUGCAUCUUGAUGAGUUGCGGCACGGCAGCAUUUAAAGGAGACCAAUUUGUUUGGCACUGGCUCAAGAGCCAGGAAGCUGACAUGAUUGGAUGCUGACGAUGACUAAGAUGAUGAUUCGUUGUCAAGGUAGAAGGGCCCUCGACUGCCAGUGCUCAGUUGGGCAGAGUGGCGGAGUUCAUUCGAGUUCGUUGGGGCUUAGUUCCGCUGCACAGCUUGUGUCCUGGCAGCCAAGGAGCUCAGCUCAGCUCGGCACAGCGAAAAAUAGCCUAGAAACGUUUCAUCAGCAUUCAUUCAUUCAUUCAUGGCAUCUAAGUAACGUAUAUUUGGGAUGUUAUAAGCUUCCUUAAAAUAUCAUGAAUGUGGAGAGAAAGGCUUUCCACUGGACAUUAGUUAGCCUAACUUUGCUUGUCUCUAUAUAAUUGGUAGUUUACUAUAUAAAUAUAACUAUUUUUGUGUCCAAUUAAAAAAUAGUUGAUGGGCUGAUGUUUCUUUCUGUGUGGCUCAUUACGAGCACAGUUUUUACGCAAAAUCCUGCGGAGGAGGAUGCGGCUUAAGUGCGCCAUUCCAAAUUCAAUUGGGCUUGAAGUGUUCGAAAGGCAAAAGGCAUCCAGCCAGGAGAUGUCGCACCGCCGCAAGGCGGCUCAACUCAUCUUGGCUUGGACUGGUUGGAUUUAUGGACGGGAAAAGUACGUAGAGUGGCCAACAAAUGAUUGAGAUUUAGUUGGCUUUGUUUUUCGUAGUGUAAUCCAUCAAGAUUUCCAUUUCAAAUUGCGUUAUGCAUGCUGACUGAUUUUCGCAUAAAUUCCAAACAAAUUUGCUUAGUCCAUUUUUACAGCCAUUAAAUGCCAGUCCUGUUGCACUUUUGGCCAACAUUGUUUAGUGUUAAUAAUUGACAGAAGUGCUCGAGUUUAGCCCAUUUAAAUUAAUCGAAACAGCUCAAUUCCGUGAUAAUCCGCACUGGCUGUAUGGUGUUUUAUUUAUUUUCUGUUUUAAAUAGCUCAGUGCAGCUCGGCGAAGAGAGAAGCCACAUAGCAUUGACACAAAUCCACAGCUGUUUAAAUAGAAAUU